rnacentral:lncRNA from 1 species
AAUUUUUUUUUUAAUUUUAUCUGUUGUCAAAAUGUAGUAGACUAUAUUACACUCUAACGUACUAUGAUAUUUUGGUGUAAUAUGAUAUACUGCGGUGUACUAUGGUUUACUACAGCAUAUUUUUUCAAAUCCUAGCAACAAAACAAACUCUUAACCAUCGCUAAACCCUAGGAACCAACAACUUCCAGCCGCCACCAACUUUUAUCCAUCAAAUCCUAGCCGUCAACCAAAACCCUUGCGCCGUCAAAAAGCCCUAGAUUGAUGCAACCGCCUCCCACUGUCGAUCUAAUCUCAUAUCACUAUCUCCAAUGGCCAUCUCCACCAUAACCAUCACCUUUAUAACCACGAUCACCACCGUCAUCGCCAUAGACAUUGACACCUUCGCUACCCUCUUCUACAAU